rnacentral:rRNA from 1 species
CCUACGGGGGGCUGCAGUGGGGAAUAUUGCACAAUGGGCGCAAGCCUGAUGCAGCCAUGCCGCGUGUGUGAAGAAGGCCUUCGGGUUGUAAAGCACUUUCAGCGGGGAGGAAGGCGUUAAGGUUAAUAACCUUGGCGAUUGACGUUACCCGCAGAAGAAGCACCGGCUAACUCCGUGCCAGCAGCCGCGGUAAUACGGAGGGUGCAAGCGUUAAUCGGAAUUACUGGGCGUAAAGCGCACGCAGGCGGUCUGUCAAGUCGGAUGUGAAAUCCCCGGGCUCAACCUGGGAACUGCAUUCGAAACUGGCAGGCUAGAGUCUUGUAGAGGGGGGUAGAAUUCCAGGUGUAGCGGUGAAAUGCGUAGAGAUCUGGAGGAAUACCGGUGGCGAAGGCGGCCCCCUGGACAAAGACUGACGCUCAGGUGCGAAAGCGUGGGGUGCAAACAGGAUUAGAUACCCGAGUAGUC